rnacentral:lncRNA from 1 species
UCACGAAAGUUAUACAAAAAGCUAUUAAUGAAAUACAUUCGAGAUUAACAAUCACAUUGAUCAAUCAAAUACAUGCCUUGUUUCAUAAGUUCUGAUAUGGAAAUUUCUUCAACAACAGGUUUUCCCAAUGGUGAUUUCCCUGUGAGAAAUUCUUGAGAUACGCGUUGCAUGGUAGGUCGAGACUUGGGUUUUGACUGCAAGCAUGCAAAUGCAACUAUUGAAACAAGAAUAAUAUCAUGAACAACCUUUCGAUCAAGUGGAGAUGGCAGACGUUGGUCUAAAAUAUCGAUCAACCUAAUCUUUCGUUCAGAUGAUGACGAUAAAGAUGAAAGAAGAUCUCCUGGAUGACUUCCCAUUAAUACUUCUAGUGCCACCAUUCCAAAGCUAUAAACAUCACAUUUCUCUGUCACAGCCAUGGUGUAUGCAAGUUCUACAACAAAAUAGAACCCAUUGUAAAAUUUCUUUGCACAAGCAAAAAACAAAAUAUAUAUAUAUUUGAUUCACUGUUUCUGGAAGCUUCUGCAGCAAGAUAUUUAAGAGAUAUCUAAUUGAUUUUUAAAUACAUUCAAUGCAUAAACAUGGGUAAGAAGCAUGAAAAGAAGAGCUAAAGGUUACCUGGAGCGAUAUAUCCAUAUGUCCCGAGCACUAGAGUUCUGUUGGAGGAAUCUGGAUGCAGGAGCCUAGCCAAACCAAAAUCAGCAACAAAUGCCUCUAGGUUUGAAUUAAGUAGAAUGUUAUUGCUGGAUAUGUCGCGGUGAACAAUUGGUGGCUUGCAGUCAUAAUGCAAGUAAGACAAAGCAUGAGCCAUACUCUUUACAAUGUCCACUCUCUUAGUCCAAUCCAGCUCAACAGCUUCAACGUCAUUGCGUAACACACAGAACAAGCUUCCCCACUCCAUGUACUCAUAGAUCAAAAACAUGCACUGGUUAUGCAAACAAAAUCCAUAAAGCUUCACUAUAUUACGAUGCCGUAUUUGGGAUAGUAGACGAGCUUCAGUUUGAAAACUUUUAAGGAAGGCUAGCUCCUCUGUCUCUGAACGGUGAAGUUUCUUCAAAGCGACUACUCUUCCACUAGACAAUUGUGCUCUGUAAACGCUGCCAUAACCUCCGGUUCCAAUGCAAUAUUUGAUGUGGAAAUCCUCUGUCGCUUGAAUCAUCUCUUCAAAUGUAAUUCUACCAUCAAAAUCCCAUAUUGAGAACUCAUCAGCGCACUUUUUCAUUUCUCGGGUAUUAGGAUUAAUUUUCUCAUCCAUUCGUCUGUGGACAAACAAGAUUCCAAAAAUUAAGGCAAGGAAUGCGACCAUGGGAAGAAUAAUUGUAACCAAGGGAGUAACGAUCUUUUGGUUUUUUCCUUUGUUGCCUUUAAAAUGUUGUGUUUGGGGUGGUGGUGCAUUUUCUGAAAUAACUGGGUUUUCUACCUCUAGAUUGUUUUCUGACCAUUUUAAUCCGGGCACUCUAAAGACAGAUUCGGGGAUAACGCCGGAGAGGUUAUUCUUGGAAACGUCCACUUCAGAAACGUUUGGAAUUUUUCCGAGUUGAGAAGGUAUGGUGCCAUUUAUGAAGUUAUGGCUUAAAUCAAGUUGUCUCAGAUGUAUAAGGUUGCCUAUCUCCGAUGGAAUGCUUCCGCUUAAACUGUUGUGGUUUACUGCCAAGUUCUGUAACUGCGAGCAAUUCAUGAGUUCUGGAGGAAUGGAGCUGUUGAGCUGAUUAUAACCAAGAUUCAAAGAGGUGAGGUUGGUUAAAUAACCAAUUGUUGGAGGAAUGGGUCCAAUUAGGUUGUUCCUAUCAAGAGACAGAGAAUCAAGAUACUUCAGAUUUCCGACUUCUCGAGGCAGCAGACCACUUAGUUGGUUUGAAGAAAGAUCUAGAGAUGUUAAGUAGGUUAAAUUUCCUAUGGUCGGUGGAAUUGGACCAUCAAGUCUGUUGUGAGACAAGCGCAACUCAUCCAACAAGUUUAAAAAACCAAUGGUCGAAGGAAUAGGUCCAGUGAGAUUGUUCCUAUUUAGAAGCAGAGAAUCAAGAUUCUUCAGAUUUCCAACUUCUUUAGGCAGUGGACCAACAAGAUUGUUGUAAGCCAAGUACAAAGUACUUAACUGAUUUAAAUGAUAAAGCGUUGAAGGAAUAGGCCCAGUUAGAUUGUUAUUAUCCAGAAACAGAGACACAAGAUUCUUCAGAUUUCCAACUUCUUGAGGCAGCCGACCACUAAGUUGGUUUAAAGAAAGGUCCAAAUGUGUCAAGUUAGUUAAAUUACCUAUGCUCGAUGGAAUUAGACCAUCCAGUUUGUUGCCCUGCAACCUCAGGUCAUAAAGAUCCUUCAAAUUCCCAAAUUCUAAUGGGAUAGAACCAUUGAGAAUGUUAUAAGACAGAUUCAGUUCGAGAAGAUCCCUCAAACUCCCGAUCUCUGAAGGGAUAGUACCUAUCAUAUAUAUAUAUAUACAUGCAAAUGAUUAAUUAAUGAUAAAUGAGCAAUAUUAUCCAGUACCGAUAGGAAAUUAUUGUAUAUGCAAUGAAAUUAUAUAUAAUAGUUACCUGUAAGACGGUUAUAGGACAGGUCAAGCACUUUGAGUCUUGAAAGAGCACCAGUUUCUGAUGGUAUCCUUCCGGAGAGAAAACGAGUGCCCCAAAUUCUGAAAGUUACGAGGUUGGGAAAGCAAGUGAAGUUGAGUUGGCUAAGCUCUGCUGCGUUGCCAUUAUUAUCCAUCUCGUCAGAACUUAUCUCAACUAUGCUUCCUGCUGAAUUGCAAGUGAUUCCCAUCCACUUGCAAUGAUCUGAAGUAUAGUUGGCCGUCGCCCGACUGCUAUUCCACCAGCCUGAAUUAAGUAAAGCUUCCCUUUCUAACUGUAAGGCUGACGAUGCAUCAGAUGCUGUUAGAACUGCAUUAUCAGUUAUAACAGGAACAAUAAUACUGCUUAUAAAAGUUAUAAUGACCACCAAUUUUGAAAUGGAGGAAUCCGGUGCCAUUUUUGUAAGUUUUUGGUUGAUUAGAUUCAGCGGGUGCAUGCCUGCUUUUAUAACUAAACAUUAAGUUUGACAGCAACACUCAGGGCCAGUUUGGGAAUGCUGUAACUUUUAAAAUAAUUACUGUUAGCUGUGCUGUAAAAAUAAUCAACUGUGAAGAAAAUCAGUUAAGUGUUUGGUAAAUUUUGUUUCAAGAAGUACUGUGAGUUUUGAAAGCAGUUAUGGACGUUUGGUAAAUUUUACUAUUAAACUGCUGAGAGAAAAUAAAUGACUAAAAUAUCCAUAAUAUAAGAUAAAAUUUACUUAUAUAUAUAAAAACAUGUACAUAUAAUAUUUUUAAUUGUGUAUUAUAAUAAUUUUUACUAAAAAUAAAAUUUAUAAUAUAUUUAUUUUAUUUUUUUAUCUUAAAGCAAUUGAUAAUUAAAUUAAUAAUAUAGUGAAAUAAAUUUAAUAAUAAUUCGACCAAUAAAUUGAUAUUAAUAAAUUUAUAUUUAUGAAUUAUAAUACAAAAUUUUUAUAAAUUAUUUUGUUUCCAAUUUGAAUAAGGAUAAUUUUGGAUUUAAAUAAUAAUUUUAAGGAUAUUUAUGGAAUUGUACUAAAUGAUAAAAUUGAUUUUCAAAAUCAGAAUCUAAAAGCUACUACUUCCCUGCUUUUCAAAAUCAGCUGUAGGAGAAGUUGAUUUUGACAAAAGUGAUUUUGAUUUUUUUUUACCAAACACUAAAACUAAUUUUUAGAUUUUCAAAAUCACUUUUAGGUCUCCUAAAAACAAUCCCAAACGGGACCUCAAUCAUUUUUAGCCCGCGUUGAGCUUUCUGCCUCAUCGUCAAAAUUGGCAUGCGCGUUAUCAAACGCAAGAGUCAGUUGAGUUAAUGUCUUUUUAGGCCACUAAUUCCUAUUUUUAAUUAAUUUCUCAAAGUAAAGGCUACAUGUGAUUCAUAUUCUAGCAACUUUCUAUUUCUUUCUUUACUUUUUAGUCCACUUUCCAUUCUCCCAAUUACUUUUCUAGAAUGGAGGAUUAUAUAUAUUCUAGUAACUUUCUUUUUCUUUCUUUUCCUUUUGGAACAUACUUUAUGCCCGAAUUUAGACCCCGACCGAAUUCCACCAAAAUUUUCGCCUUUAUAUGGGUUCAUUUGGGAUUUAUGUUCGGGGCGUAUAGGCAUAGCAUUGCUCUUUACUUUGUGUCGACUUUCCUUCAUCAUCAAAAUAUUCGAUAAUGUCGGGAAAUAUUAAAAUUUGUUCUUAAUUAACAAAGAAUUAAGCCGACUACCAUAUUUCGCCAAAAGUCAAAGGAAAAUUUUCCAUUCUCCGGUACAACAUAUUCUAUAAUUUAUAGUAAUUGUCUAUUUGGUAAUGCGAACGGUUAUUUACACUAAGCAAUAUUUUGAAUAUUUGGAGACCCAAGUCAUACUCAAUGCUAAAAAUAAAAUAAAUAUUUUUUCUUCGUACAGAAAAAAAUAUAAAUUACCAACAUGUGAUAGGAGUUCAUCGAUACUUAUAUCAUUAUCAUCAUCCAAACCUAUAUUUGCAUCGUCAAUUUGUCGAUCUAGAAAUGAGACUAGUACCUAUGUGCUUAAUAAAAAAAAUUAUUAAAAAAAUAUUACCUUUCAAGUAAUACAUUAUUUUGUUGUGUAUUAUAUACUAAAUCAAUGAUGUAUUCUAAAUAGAUGUUCACCCUCAAGUGGUAUCAGAUAUCUUCAUCUAAAAUGAUGUGUCUUAAAAUUUAAUGAGAAAAAUAUACAUAUAUUCUAAGGUUUGGGGAAAUAACAUGCAUGAACCUUACCAUAUAAUAUAACUUUAUGAUCGCAUUUUGGUGGAUAUUAUGUAAUUCAUUAACUUUGUUGUCUAUUAUAUACUAUAUUAAUGAUGAAUUCUAACUAGAUGAAAUUCACUCCCAAGUAGUGUCUGAUAUGGCCAUAUCCAUGUGUCCUAUAACUUUACUGAAACAAAUUUUGGGGAAUUUAAGAAUCUUUUUCUUUUUAUGUUUAGGAAAUUUAAUAAUUCGAAGUAGCUGCCAUUUUAGUUGUGUUUAAAAUUGAUUGUCUUAAAAAUUUGGAAAAUAUAUGGGAAAAUUUUCAAAAUGAUAAAAGGGAUAAUGUAGACUGACACGUUUAAACAUGUGAACUCAUUAGUCGCCAAUUAUUUGAAACGCACGGCCAGGGGAUGCCGUGUGAUUAAACACGUGAGUAGAAAACUUUUCAGGUGACUGGCUUUUUCUGAGCCGACCACAAAUUAAAGCAAAAUUGGAGUCAAGGUCUUGCAGACAAGGAAAAGAAGACGUGUGUGUACUGCGAGUUCACAUUUGAGGGUUGACUGACAAAUUUGUCCCUUGUCAAGCUCGUCAAAGAAGCACCUAUAAAUUUCACUUGAGAAUAUAUAUAUUUUAUAUUUAUCCAAAGUGAAGGAUUUAAUUAAACAAAAUUCAGUCUCACGAAUGUUAAUAUACCGAAAAAAGUUAUACAAAAACCACUAUCAAAAUUUUGGAUAAUCUUGAGAAAUUUUAAAAUUUGUUCUUAAUUAACAAAGAAUUACGCCCAAUACCAUAUUUCGCCAAAUCUCAAAGGAAAAUUUUCCACUUUUCCGGUACAAUAUUUUCUAUAAUUUACGGUAAUUAUUAAUUGGUAAUGCCAAUGGUUUUUUACACUAAACAAUAUUUUCAGACCCAAGUCAUACACAAUGCUAAAACCAAAGUAAAUAUUUUUUUUUCAUUUGUACAGAAAAAAUAUAAAUUACCAAGUUCAUCAAUACUUAUUUCAUUUAUCAUCAUCCGAAUCUAUAUUUGCAUCAUCAAUUGUCGAUCUACAAAAGAGAAAUCAAAGAUGUUAAAAAUAUUUCUAAUAAUAAGAUAAAAAUUAAAUAUAAAGACUAGUACCUAGGUGUUUGAAUUAAAAAUAAUAAUCAUUAAAAAAUAUUACCUUUCAAGUAGUACAUAAUUUUGUUGUGUAUUAUAUACUACGUUAAUGGUGUAUUCCAAAUAGAUGAAACUCACUCCCAAGUUGUGUCCAAUAUGGUGAUAUCCUUGUGUCUUACAAUUCCCAUAGGAUGCUAGAGCCAUAUGGAAGCAUAUAGAAGAUUGAUUGGUCGUGAUUAUUAACACUUUUGACGGUUUAUUCUAUAUACAUGAUCAGCUGAACUUGUUCUCUUUAAUUUUCAUAAAUGCAUUGACACAGUUUUUACUUUUUGAUCAUUGGAUAUCCCUGACUUUAAGUUCAUCGAAUUCUAAACUAGGGAAUGCUGUUUGACUUACAACCAUAAUAGUUAGGAAGGUUAUAACUAGAUGGUCACAAUGGUUUUCAAUCACCGAUUGCUUUCUUACGGAACAGAAAAGAAAGGAAAGAUCAUAACUUCUCCCCCACCAGCUUGUGUUAAUUGUCACUACUUAUUGUGGUUUAUUUUAUUUUUCAAAUCACAUUUGGUGACGGUUUCCAAUUCCACCAGCCGCCGAAAUCAAGGUGUAAUUCUAUUGUUUACAGAAUUUCAUUUCUGUUUACCAUUCAUCCAAGCAAUGUCAUACUUUUUACUUUUCAUAUUCUCAAAGUUCUUCAAAUCUUUUUAUUUCAAAUUGAAUGAAACAUUAAUUCUCAUUGGAUAAUCAACAUAUACUUGUCUUAGAGUCCUCAGGUGGACAACUUUUGGGGUUUUGGGUCCUCAUUUGUUGUACUGAUUGGUUCUUGAGGUAAAUAAAUCCAGGAUUCCUGAUAUUGAACAUUCAAUUUUCAUGUCUGAAACUUCCAAUAUCCAAAUUCACUCAUGCAAUACAACUACUCUAUUUUAAAUCAAUUAGAUGGUUUCAGAUACAGAUUUUGUAUUUCCAACAUAAAAAAUCAUGCAAGCAUUUGAUACCCAAAAGACCAUGAUUGGAUUUUUUCUUCUCCCCUCCUCUCCCCUGUAUUGUCAAGUCAUCCAUAAAUUUUCUGCAAUGUCAGACUGUGCAAAAGGUAAUUUUAUCAGUGUAAGUGCUUGCAUUGUUCAUUUCUUCAGACAGCCAUUUACUAUGUCCAACAAUUCAUGCUGUGUUCACUAAUUAAAGCAACUGCGAGUCAAGGUCCUUUUAAGUCGGGAAAAUGACUUGGGUGGUGUGAAUUCACACAUGAAACUUAAUUGGCAUAUUUGUCACUCGGCAAGCUCAAUGGACCCCUUUCAAAUUCACUUUAGAAUCUUUAUUUAUUCUUUAACCAAAGAUAAGGAUUUAAAUACAAAAAAUUCAGCCUCACGAAAGUUAUACAAAAAGCUAUUAAUGAAAUACAUUCAAGAUUAACAAUCACAUUGAUCAAUCAAAUACAUGCCUUAUUUCAUAAGUUCUGAUAUGGAAAUUUCUUCAACAACAGGUUUUCCCAAUGGUGAUUUCCCUGUGAGAAAUUCUUGAGAUACGCGUUGCAUGGUAGGUCGAGACUUGGGUUUUGACUGCAAGCAUGCAAAUGCAACUAUUGAAACAAGAAUAAUAUCAUGAACAACCUUUCGAUCAAGUGGAGAUGGCAGACGUUGGUCUAAAAUAUUGAUCAACCUAAUCUUUCGUUCAGAUGAUGACGA